UACGUAGGCAGCGAGCGUUGUUCGGAAUUACUGGGCGUAAAGGGUGCGUAGGCGGCGCGGUAAGUCGGGUGUGAAAUUUCGGAGCUUAACUCCGAAACUGCAUUCGAUACUGCCGUGCUUGAGGACUGGAGAGGAGACUGGAAUUUACGGUGUAGCGGUGAAAUGCGUAGAUAUCGUAAGGAAGACCAGUGGCGAAGGCGGGUCUCUGGACAGUUCCUGACGCUGAGGCACGAAGGCCAGGGGAGCAAACGGG
rnacentral:rRNA from 1 species